rnacentral:rRNA from 1 species
AACGAACGCUGGCGGCAUGCCUAACACAUGCAAGUCGAACGCUCCGCAAGGGGAGUGGCGAACGGGUGAGUAACGCGUGGGAACCUGCCCAGUAGUUGGGGAUAACCGCGGGAAACUGCGGCUAAUACCGAAUACGCCCUAAGGGGGAAAGAUUUAUCGCUAUUGGAGGGGCCCGCGUCGGAUUAGCUGGUUGGUGAGGUAACGGCUCACCAAGGCGACGAUCCGUAGCUGGUCUGAGAGGANGAUCAGCCACACUGGGACUUAGACACGGCCCAGACUCCUACGGGAGGCAGCAGUGGGGAAUAUUGGACAAUGGGGGCAACCCUGAUCCAGCAAUGCCGCGUGAGUGAUGAAGGCCUUAGGGUUGUAAAGCUCUUUUACCGGGACGAUGAUGACGGUACCCGGAGAAUAAGCCCCGGCUAACUUCGUGCCAGCAGCCGCCGCCGUAAU